rnacentral:rRNA from 1 species
GACGAACGCUGGCGGCGUGCCUAACACAUGCAAGUCGAGCGGAGUCGAUCGACGGAAGCCUUCGGGCGGAAGAUGGUUGACUUAGCGGCGGAUGGGUGAGUAACGCGUGGGCAACCUGCCUCGAAGACCGGGAUAACAGCCCGAAAGGGCUGCUAAUACCGGAUGUGGUCAAGGAUCCGCAUGGAUUUUUGAUUAAAGGGGAAACCCGUUUCGAGAUGGGCCCGCGUCCUAUCAGCUAGUUGGUGAGGUAAAAGCUCACCAAGGCGACGACGGGUAGCCGGCCUGAGAGGGUGACCGGCCACACUGGAACUGAGACACGGUCCAGACUCCUACGGGGGCAGCAGUGGGGAAUCUUCCACAAUGGGCGAAAGCCUAGAUGGAGCGACGCCGCGUGAGCGAAGAAGGCCUUGGGUUGUAAAGCUCUGUCUGGGAGGACGAAGGAAGUGACGUACCUCGGAGAGCCACGGACUAACGUACGUGACCAGCACGCCGACGGUAAGAUCGACGUGUA